CCUACGGGAGGCAGCAGUGGGGAAUAUUGCACAAUGGGCGAAAGCCUGAUGCAGCCAUGCCGCGUGUAUGAAGAAGGCCUUCGGGUUGUAAAGUACUUUCAGUUGUGAGGAAGGGUGUGUAGUUACUGCGCAUCUUGACGUUAGCAACAGAAGAAGCACCGGCUAACUCCGUGCCAGCAGCCGCGGUAA
rnacentral:rRNA from 1 species